CCCACCCCUAUUGAUAGACAUUUGGAUUAUUUAUAUGUUUUCCUAAAUCUUCAUAGAUAUAGGUUAAUAAUAAUUUAUUUCCUUUAGAUAAAUAAAGAUAUGUGGCUUUGUGAAAAACUGUUUACUUUUUUGAGUUUUCAACACAUUAAUAUUUACUACUAAAGGUUGUAAAGAAAAAAAAACAGGGCUGAUGAUAAAGUAGGGCUUGGCAGGAUGAUUUGAUUUGCAUAACUCAAUUCUUGGACUUUUAAAUUAUGUUGACUGAAGAAUUUACAUUUUGCUUAUUCUUAUAAAAUUUAUCAUUUGUAAUUUCAAAUUCUUCCUAAAGUGAGAGUCUCUUGACCAUACUUAUUUCUAUUUCAGUAACAUAAGGCUCAGAUUUCAGCUGUGAUGGGAACUGCAAAAUGGAUUGCUGGCUGGAUCAGGAAGUCCAGCAGAACAUGAUUGAUCGUCACCAACACGCAGAGCCCGUCUCACCCACGAGUGUGUUUUCCCUCCCAGGACCUGACCCCUGGACACUGCUAUGUAGAUCCUGUGCUCCACUCCAGCUGCAUAUCCUGCCACUCCUACAGGGUGUGAUUGGAGAAUGAGGGUGCAGAAGUUGUAGAAGAGUUAUUUUGCAAGAUGAGGACAGCUGAGGAUCAGAAGAGAAUAGUUUGAAUGCUAUCCUGCUCCUGUAGUCAACAGGACUUUGCAUAGGCAUUAAUAAUAAAAGGAUUAAAGUAAUAUUUUAGGAAAAUCUAAUCUGGCCUUCGCAUGUAGAAUGGAUCAAGUGGGGAAGAAGAAAAUGGCAGUGGAUACAUCAAUCUGGAGGGUCCUGAAAUGUGAAGGAGGUGGGUUUCUACAAUUAAGAGACAAUAGGCCAGGCACGGUGGCUCAUUCCUAUAAUCCUAGCAUUCUGGGAGGCCAAGGUGGUAAGAUCGCUUGAA